UAAGAAAGUGGUUUAGAGUAGAGAGAAGCAGUGCCUCUUAUGGCAGAAGUAGUUUGGGAUAUGGCCAUUCCCCAGCAAGGAUGCAGCUGGGCAUAGACCCAGGGCCUGGCUUUGGUGGAGGAGAGGACCUGGAGUUGGGCCUACAAAACAUCCAGUCAGCUGCAGAAGAGGAGAACGAGCAAAUCUUCACAAGAACUCCGCAACCCUGCAACCCCGCUGACUGCUGUGUGAAAGAUCGGCCAAGAGCUCAGAGUUUAGGGGAAUGAAAAGGGCUCGCAGCCCCUCGCCCUGAAGAACACGAGCCCGUGGAGGACCGAGGAAAUGAAAAUAAAAUGCCCGGUUUGAAUAGGGAGCCAACGAGACAAAUCUUGUCCGUGGUUCGGUGUUAAAUGAUGCCCUUAAUCCCCAGCUCUUGGGACCUGGCAUCUCCGUCGAACUUUGAUCAGCCUUGGCUCAGUCUUCACGUUCCCUGCACUGAUGUUUGGGGCUGUUUGCAGGCACAGUAAAUAUUUGUCCUGUCAAAUGGCA